UAAAAAAUUAGUUAAUUUAUAACAUAGGUUUGUCAGGCCUAAAUUAUCACUUUCUUGAUAUUUUUUAA
rnacentral:tRNA from 1 species